rnacentral:misc_RNA from 1 species
GACAUAUACUUACUUUUCUGUCAAAAUCCUAAUAUUCUAUCUCUGAAGUGUACUAAAAAUCUUUGGCAUGCAUUGUACUUCUUAUCAGAGAUAGGAUUAGAGACCGAAAUAAUUGCAAAUAUUGUAUCUACACAUAUACAACUUCUAGGUUCACAUUCUCUGAAAGGACCAAAGACUCUUUUGAGGGACUUCAAGGGUGGCAAGUUUCGUCUAUGUCAGACUAUAAAGGAUGAUCCUUUGAAUUUGUUCAGAUUAGCUUCAAAAUCAAAAUUUAAUGUGGAGCAAAUGACUUCCCAGGACCCAGGAAAAUUAUUUCAGAAAAC